rnacentral:lncRNA from 1 species
CACAUGACUUAUUUAUCGUAUUUCUCACAAAAUGUGAAUUUUACUCUUCAACAAAAUCAAAGGUGAAGGAGCCUUUUACUUAACAGAAACCUGAAGACCCGCGGACAGCAAAAGUUCUUCCAAGAAGCCUGGAUGUCUCAGGAAGAGGAUAACACCCUGACAAGUUGGUGUAUGCUGUUGGACCGAGAGCUGGGCAGUCAGUAGCAAGGCACAGUCAGUAAAAUCCCCAUCUCAGUCGCCGGCUCACAGCUGCUUCAUCAUUCACAGAAUGUAGACACCAGAGGAAACCAGGAAGCUUUGUAAGAGGCCUUCAGCAUUGUGUGUGGGGUAUGACCAGGCUGAGUUCAGCAAAACUGUCUGAAACGUU